UACAGGGGGUGCAAACGUUGCUCGGAAUUAUUGGGCGUAAAGCGCGCGUAGGCGGCCACUUAAGUCGGAUGUGAAAGCCCCUGGCUCAACUGGGGAAGUGCACCCGAAACUGAAUGGCUCGAGUGCGAAAGAGGGUCGCGGAAUUCCCGGUGUAGAGGUGAAAUUCGUAGAUAUCGGGAGGAACACCGGUGGCGAAGGCGGCGACCUGGGUCGACACUGACGCUGAGGAGCGAAAGCGUGGGGAGCGAACAGG
rnacentral:rRNA from 1 species